ensembl:lncRNA
GUGGACAGUAUAUGCAUGUGGCACACGUCAAAACGCGCGGUUCAUGUGAUUGAAGUGUACACGUGCAAAAGUUUGACUGUAUUAUGCAAGAGCAUCCUGCACGCAGGCGAGAGCCUGAGCUCACACGUGGUUCACGCGUACAUAUGUGUGGGUGAAAUGUGUCAAAGAAGUUGUAAAACAUCUAGGUUCAGCAAGGGGAAAGUAGCAGGCUGGACGCAGACUGUGGAGCCAGCGGCAGGCGUCGAAAGACUACUGGUCCCUCGGCUAGGGCCCUCUGGGAGAAAGGGGCGCGGGGCACGCCCAGAGGCCGCCUGCCAACGCCAGAUCAGCUCCUGGCUCGAGAGGCCGAUUCCGCUGCAGGCCCCCUCACAAUGUGGCCUGAGAUCGGAAUGGUCCCUGCUGGACAGUUCCGAACUCUUAAUCUUUCCCGGAGGACGCUUUCUGAUUACUGACUCCAUGUGUCCUAAGAGAGGCCGCUUCCAGGAGACGAACAGAGGUUGAGAUCUGGCCAUGCCAUACGGCUGCAAGUCUGUGAAAGGGACACAAUGGUUAUUUCCCUCUAAUGGACAAGGAAACCGAGAUGCAGAGUGAUGAGAUCUUUAGGCAAUGCGCGGUGACAUCAGCAUUCAACCUUGGGGUGAAGUCGGCCUCCCCUGGGCCCUGCCACUCUUCGCACCACAGCGUUAACCUCUAAAAAGAGCCGUGGUUUUCACUUUGAGAUGCCCAUCUCUGGGAAUGAUGAAGUAACCAUAGGAUGCUGAGCGUCAGAGAGCCUGGUAGGGCCUAAGGCAGCAGUGCUCAUCAGUAAGGACUUCUGCCUCAGGUUGCUUAAGAAUCCAGACAAACUGGGCUGGGGAUUUAGCUCAGUGGUUCCAUCGCCUGCCUCACAAGCUCAAGGUCCCGUGUUUGACCCCGGUACCAAAGAGAAAAAAGAAUCCAGACAAACUGCCCCUGACCCUAUAGCUGCUGGAUGACCUACUUCAAUUCCCAGGGGAUGGAGACCCAGUGUGACCCCUUUGGAGCUGCGUUCUGGCCUUGUGGAUGAUUCUUCUGCAUUGCUUUUGUGCACAUUCUCAUGAAUUGACUGUAGCAUUAAAAAAGCACCUAGUGCUAAACAAAACAAUGAAUAGAUUUUAAAAAUGUGUGGGCCACAUCAGUAGGAAGUCGACACUUAAAACGUCCACAAGGACUUAGAACUUUAUAAUAGGUCAACGGCAGAGUACCUGAUAUAUUCAAACCAGAAGGUUCCGUAAUUCGAGUUAAAAUUUUUUUAGUU